rnacentral:rRNA from 1 species
UCUCACAAUAGCGUCAAAGCUUAACUAUUAUAGUAAAAAUUCCGUAAGUUAAUUAAAACCCUGCCCCAGUACUGAAUAAUUCUAUACUACUAUAGAAAAUCUAAUGUUAAAACUAGUAACAUGAGAAAACUCCUCUCUUAAAUGCAAACAUAAGUCAAAACGGACAAUACACUGACAAUUAACAGCCAAACUAAAGUGACACCCUUCCCAAGAAAACCUCACUAAAUAUCCUGUUAACCUAACACAAGAGCAUCUAAAGAAAGACCAAAAGAAAAAGAAGGAACUCGGCAAAACUGAUUCCGCCUGUUUACCAAAAACAUCGCCUCUUGAAAACCAUAGGAGGUCUAGCCUGCCCAGUGACAUGUUCAACGGCCGCGGUAUCCUAACCGUGCAAAGGUAGCGUAAUCACCUGUUUUUUAAUUAAAGACCUGUAUGAAAGGCACCACGAGAAUCACACUGUCUCCUUUUUCUGGUCGGUGAAACUAAUCUCCCCGUGAAAAAGCGGGAAUAAAAAUGCAAGACGAGAAGACCCUUUGGAACUUAAGACAAAAUAAUAAUGCAAACUUCCCCCCACCUACACCCACUAGCACUCUACUUACAAGUCUUUGGUUGGGGCAACCACGGAGUAAAAACUAACCUCCAAGCUGGACGGAAACUUCCUAAACAAAAAGCCACAACUUUAUGUAUCAAUAAACUGACACAUUUGACCCAAUAUUUUGAUUAACGAACUAAGCUACCCCAGGGAUAACAGCGCAAUCCACUUCAAGAGUUCAUAUCGACAAGUGGGCUUACGACCUCGAUGUUGGAUCAAGGUUCCCUAGUGGUGCAGCCGCUACUAAAGGCUCGUUUGUUCAACGAUUAAAACCUCACGCG